rnacentral:rRNA from 2 species
GGGUUGUGAGGUUAAGCGACUAAGCGUACACGGUGGAUGCCCUGGCAGUCAGAGGCGAUGAAGGACGUGCUAAUCUGCGAUAAGCGCCGGUAAGGUGAUAUGAACCGUUAUAACCGGCGAUUUCCGAAUGGGGAAACCCAGUGUGACUCGUCACACUAUCAUUAACUGAAUCCAUAGGUUAAUGAGGCGAACCGGGGGAACUGAAACAUCUAAGUACCCCGAGGAAAAGAAAUCAACCGAGAUUCCCCCAGUAGCGGCGAGCGAACGGGGAGGAGCCCAGAGCCUGA